GUCAGAGGGUGCAAACGUUGUUCGGAAUUACUGGGCGUAAAGCGAGUGUAGGCGGUCUGAUAAGUCGGAUGUGAAAGCCCCGGGCUCAACCCGGGAAGUGCACUCGAUACUGUCAGGCUAGAGUAUCGGAGAGGUUGGUGGAAUUCUCGGUGUAGAGGUGAAAUUCGUAGAUAUCGAGAGGAACACCGGUGGCGAAGGCGGCCAACUGGACGAAUACUGACGCUGAGACUCGAAAGCGUGGGGAGCAAACAGG
rnacentral:rRNA from 1 species